rnacentral:rRNA from 1 species
AUUCUGUCUCUUUAAAUUAAUAUGGAAAUUACUUAUGAAGUGAAAAUUCUUCAAUUUAAUUUAAAAGACGAGAAGACCCUUAGAAUUAUAAUCAAAAAAUUUUAAUUUUACAAUUUUCGUUGGGGCAACGUAGGUUUAAAAUUCACUAAUAAAAACCUUUAUUAAAAAGUUUUUACACGCCGAACAUGUUAUGAAAGAUUUAAUUACCUAAGGGAUAACAGCAUAAUUUUACUUAAGAUUGUGACCUCGAUGUUGGACUAG